ACGGAGGGUGCGAGCGUUGUCCGGAAUUAUUGGGUUUAAAGGGUACGUAGGCGGUUAGAUAAGUCGAAGUUGAAAUGCUGCAGCUCAACUGUAUGCACUGGCUUUGAUACUGUUUAACUUGAGUAUGGUAGAGGUAGGCGGAAUUUAUGAUGUAGCGGUGAAAUGCAUAGAUAUCAUAAAGAACUCCAAUUGCGAAGGCAGCUUACUGGACCAUAACUGACGCUGAUGUACGAAAGCGUGGGUAGCGAACAGG
rnacentral:rRNA from 1 species